rnacentral:rRNA from 1 species
GAUGAACGCUGGCGGCGUGCCUAAUACAUGCAAGUCGAGCGAACGGACGAGAAGCUUGCUUUUCUGAUGUUAGCGGCGGACGGGUGAGUAACACGUGGAUAACCUACCUAUAAGACUGGGAUAACUUCGGGAAACCGGAGCUACUACCGGAUAAUAUUUUGAACCGCAUGGUUCAAAAGUGAAAGACGGUCUUGCUGUCACUUAUAGAUGGAUCCGCGCUGCAUUAGCUAGUUGGUAAGGUAACGGCUUACCAAGGCAACGAUGCAUAGCCGACCUGAGAGGGUGAUCGGCCACACUGGAACUGAGACACGGUCCAGACUCCUACGGGAGGCAGCAGUAGGGAAUCUUCCGCAAUGGGCGAAAGCCUGACGGAGCAACGCCGCGUGAGUGAUGAAGGUCUUCGGAUCAUAAAACUCUGUUAUUAGGGAAGAACAUAUGUGUAAGUAACUGUGCACAUCUUGACGGUACCUAAUCAGAAAGCCACGGCUAACUACGUG